rnacentral:rRNA from 1 species
GACGAACCGAGCGAACGUUGUUCGGAAUCACUGGGCUUAAAGGGCGCGUAGGCGGGCUGCCAAGUUUGGGGUGAAAUCCACCGGCUCAACCGGAGAAGGGCCUCGAAUACUGGCGGUCUGGAGGGGGGUAGGGGCGUGCGGAACUAACGGUGGAGCGGUGAAAUGCGUUGAUAUCGUUAGGAACUCCGGUGGCGAAGGCGGCACGCUGGACCCUCACUGACGCUGAGGCGCGAAAGCCAGGGGAGCGAACGGG